GGGGUUGGUGGGGCAACCUCAGCAACAUCUGUCACUCCAUUGCUUGCCAGGAUUACUUAGUCGAUUUGUCUGACUGGGCAGGUGUCCCCUCUCUCCCUCAGUGCUCCAUGUGCAUCCCUCUUGAAGCUUCGCACUCUGUUGAAGAGGACACUCAUCCCAGGUAGAGAGGGGGACGGGAAACUGGGCCAAUUUAAUCUAUGUCCUUUUCUUUUCAUCAGAGCAAGGCUACUUGACUGGGAUCCAUUGACUUCCUAGAAGGUCCUUGACCUCCAUG
rnacentral:sRNA from 1 species